rnacentral:lncRNA from 7 species
UUUUCUCAUCGUAGUGAUCUGUCCAAUUGCUACAGCAGUACAACAGGGUGGGAGACUUCUUCAUUGCUAGUGUCUGUAAGAGGUCAUCUUGCCCAUUGGACUGUAAGGAAAAAGGUCUCCAGUUGUAGCUAUCCACAGCAGCUCCGGAUGUGACUCAAAGCCAUGUUGGCUCUGUUCUGAAAUCAAGCACUAGCUGCUAUGCUCCCCACCUCUUGCUAAUGAAGAUUUGGCAGAUUGGUAUUGAGGAAGCCAAGAAUUGCUGGGAGAAGUCAUAUCAUUUACCAGCCUGAUUAGUAAUACUGGGGAGAGCAGACCGCAUCUGGGACACAAGCCCUUCUGCAGAUUUGCCCAUUUUCUGUCCAUUUAACGUCUCAUGGUGAAAUGAAAGGAAACCGUAAACUGAUGAUCCUGAGGCUGGGAUAUGACGGUACAGGAUGGGUCCCUUUCUCAUUAAGUGAGCAGUCACGUCAUUAUUAACUGAAAAGAAACACUUUGUACACCUCUGGUUUGACAACAUAUGCCUACUCUUCCCCAGAGUAGGAAUUGCCUGCUCUUUGCCAGGGUAAGAGUUGUCAAAGGAUGGAGUUUCACAAAUACUGGCUUUUUCUACAGUGUUGUUGGCUGAUGAGAGUUUAAGAACUCAACAUCAAGUUUUCCUUCUGUCUGUGUUUAUCUCAAUUCAGUGUAAAUGAGUCCUGACCACAACCAGAGCAUCAGAGUGACUGUAGAGCGCAGGUUGAGUAUGCUUCUAUGGAAGUGUUUUCCAAACGGUUUAUUGGUUUGGCAUGAUAUUGAAAUGGCUGGGGCUCUGGAGGAAGCCUAGCAGAUCUGGUUGGCUUUGAGGAAGAUGGGGCUGAUCCUGUGUAGAGACUUUCAACCCCUCUGAAAAAGGAAAUAGGUAGUUUUGUGAGGGCCUCUUAACCUGCACUUCAUUAUAGCUUUCUCAUUGGCCUCAAAGUCAGUGUUAACCUUGGCCUUAAUGCAGAGAAUAUUGACUUGAAGGGUCAAUAAAUCUUAAUAUGGAUUGGAAGUCAUGUUUGCUUACUUUGAAACUCCUCUCCAGUGCAAUUACUCUUUACAAUGCAAGGACAUUCUGGCAUUUUUCUUCUUGGCCAUUUUGAGGGGCAUUUCUCUUGCGCUUGAGAGGCCAAGGUUUCCACGCUUUGGCUAUUUCCCCCAAAUUUUCUUUAACAGCAGCUUUGGUUUUGCAUUAUUUAUCUCCUCCCAGGAAAGGCAAACAUUUUCUGUGUCGAUUCUAGCACAGAUCUGUGUAAAACGACUGCCUCCUUGCGUUACCGCUCGUAUCACCACCUCCUGUGUCCAGGAACGGCGUGCGGUUGUGUGGGAUGCUGGAACCACAAAAGAUUUUCAGAUGUCCAGGAUACUGAGUCGUGUUGCUGAACCACACGACCUAUUAUACAGUCAUUUUCUGUGCUCGGCAGUAAUAUGCAGACUUGCUAGUACCGCGCGUUCUCUACUUUGCUUAUAUCAGCCAAUGCCUACAGAAUUUUAAUGAGCGCACAGUGAGUUGCCUAUAUAACUAGUGCAUGGCAGGGUGUGUGCUGUUGCAAUAAUGAGGCAUAUAUAAUGCCUGGAGCUAUCAAGGCAAGAAGCCAAAGGAUGUUAUUAUUGCCCUUAUAAAUUGUUUUCAAAAUAAAUAAGGUACUGAAUGUU